GAUGAACGCUGGCGGCGUGCCUAAUACAUGCAAGUCGAGCGAACAGACGAGGAGCUUGCUCCUCUGACGUUAGCGGCGGACGGGUGAGUAACAAGUGGAUAACCCACCUAUAAGACUGGGAUAACUUCGGGAAACCGGAGCUAAUACCGGAUAAUAUAUUGAACCGCAUGGUUCAAUAGUGAAAGACGGUUUUGCUGUCACUUAUAGAUGGAUCCGCGCGGCAUUAGCUAGUUGGUAAGGUAACGGCUUACCAAGGCAACGAUGCGUAGCCGACCUGAGAGGGUGAUCGGCCACACUGGAACUGAGACACGGUCCAGGCUCCUACGGGAGGCAGCAGUAGGUAAUCUUCCGCAAUGGGCGAAAGCCUGACAGAACAACGCCGAGUGAGUGAUGAAGGUCUUCGGAUCGUAAAGCUCUGUUAUUAGGGAAGAACAAAUGUGUAAGUAACUAUGCACGUCUUGACGGUACCUAAUCAAAAAGCCACGGCUAACUACGUG
rnacentral:rRNA from 1 species